GACUAAACUGUCUCUUAUGGACAUUCAAUGAAACUGAUCUCUCAGUCCAAAAGCUGAAAUAUUUUCACCAGACGAGAAGACCCUGUGGAGCUUCCAAACCAACACCAACACCCAUGGUUAUGCGGUUUUUAGUUGGGGCGACUUCGGAGAACAAAAAAACCUCCAACUAGGAAAUCUUCCUGAUUAAGAUCUACACAUCUAAAUAUUUAACUUGACCCAGUGGGCAUUACCCCAUCUGAUCAAGGAACCAAGUUACCCCAGGGAUAACAGCGCUAUCCUCUUUUAGAGUCCCUAUCGACAAGAGGGCUUACGACCUCGAUGU
rnacentral:rRNA from 1 species